UUGCAUGCCAACUGAAUAGUUAAUAAAAAAAAUCAUGUUGGAAACACCUCUCGUGAAUUAUACAAUAUCAGUUCUAGGAUUUCUAAUUAUAUUAUUAGUCCUGCUUGUCUACACUAAAAGAUGCAAGAAAACUAAAAAAUUUGUUCCCUACGCUCUCAGGAUGAAAGGAGAAGGUAUUCUAAGACGAGGAAGAAAAGAAAGUUAUGUUGAAGGGAUAUUUGUGGAUUUAGACAAAAUAUUGUAAUUACCUCUGAAGUAGUAAUUUGCAUGGAUUAAAGGGACUGUAAGCGUAAUUUCAAUUGACCUUCCAUACAAAAAUCAAAGCGAUACCCUUGAAACCUUUAUCUGGUUAAUAACAUGGAAUACAUUCAAGUUUUUCUACAAACAAAAAGUGUUGAAUUCUGAUAAUUCUGAUAUGCUUUUAUGCUGUAGAAAUGCACAACUCACUUUUUUGCAGAGAAUUAACGAUUGAAAGAACAGUUUUCAAAAUUCUAAACAUUGAUAUAUAAUUUUUACUUGAUCAGGCAAAGCUAUUAAAGGUAUUGUUUUCUAAUCAUGGUUAUAGAUCACUUGAAAUUACGCUUAUAGGCCCUUUAAGCUAUUUCCUGAGCAUAUAUGUAUACAAAUAAACGGAUGUAUUAUGAAAA